CAGCUUCAGCUUGAGCUACAGCGCGCUAGAGAUUUCUAGAUCUUUGCGUCAACCGGAGACGCAACGUGACACGCUCGUUGUCGGUGACGUCAUCUCGGAACUGAUGUUGCUAAACGCGAAAACUACAACUUUUAAACGCAGAUAAAAUAUAUUUUAUAAAAAAAACUGUAAAGCAAUAUUUGAGGCUACCAAAAACUAGGCCCAGUGAGAGAGAUCAGCAGCAGCAGUAUCAGGACACUCAAGAGACAGAGAUGACAGGGGUACAUUGCAACUCCCAAUGACCUGCCUGUAAACAUACACAAAUACGGGGUUGAGCACCAUGGACAGGGCUGUCGCUUGUACUGGAGACAGAAGAGAGCGCUGGGUGUCUGUUACAGCAAUGGCCUGCUCAUAGGUAAACAUCUGAAUUUGUGCCUGGUUAAACACUACCUGAAAGGAAUGCAAGUGGACACACCAGGAGCUGACUGGUCCAAAUGCUGAGCUUUGACUGAGCAGUCCUACCAUUGCCUGAAGUUGUUCCUCUGAGCAAGAUAGGCGUAAAAGGCCCAGCCACAAAACUGCCUUACUGGAAUGAGAAGAAUUAAACAUUUCACAGUUAAGUAAGACUGGUGCCUCAAUCCCACACACAAUGUGUCCUAAAGCCACAAGAGUACUUGAGUCUAACUGGGUAACACUCCUUCGGGUUGAGUUCAGCACUGUGGAGAAGAUUGACUUCAACUGCAAGUCAAACAGAAGCAUUUGGAAUGAUAAAUGAAUGCAUAACAAUACACCUUUUUAGUUUUGUUGCACAUAAAAUUUACUAGCCAUUCAUCGACAUCUCACCUGUCUGCUAGUCCAUACGUUGAUGGCUCCCAUAGCUGAAAUUGACUGGAUUUCAGACAGUUUUAGAGAGGCUAGUUCAUCAACAGAGAGCUGGGUUGCAAUUCGACCCAACUGAGAGAUCACAGAAGUGUUAAAAGAGGAGGGCGGUCCAUACACCUGCACACAGAAAAAAACAGCCAUCACUUGGGGACCACAAAAAU